CACGUAGGGCGCAAGCGUUGUCCGGAAUUAUUGGGCGUAAAGAGCUCGUAGGCGGUCUGUUGCGUCCGCUGUGAAAACCCGGGGCUUAACCCCUGGCUUGCAGUGGAUACGGACAGACUAGAGGUAGGUAGGGGAGAAUGGAAUUCCCGGUGUAGCGGUGAAAUGCGCAGAUAUCGGGAGGAACACCGGUGGCGAAGGCGGGUCUCUGGGCCGUUACCUGACGCUGAGGAGCGAAAGCGUGGGGAGCGAACAGG
rnacentral:rRNA from 1 species